GAUGUGAGAGACGGUUGGUCUAAGAGCAGAAGGCAUGAAGGACGACUGAACAAGCCGCUUGAGUGUGGAAUGGUAAGGACCUUGGUGGAAGAAAAGGGCCUCUGGUCCAAUCAUACGCUCUUUGCUAGCAGGGUAAGUUGGCUUGAACAUAUGUGCUUUGCUUACUAACACCAUUCGAGCGGCCUCUGGACUGCUUAUCAUUACACAUGGACAUCCCAAUAUGUGGGUCUUGAAUAUCUCUCCGUAUCUGCGGAUACUCUUUUAAUUCAAUGCUUUUUUUUUGCAGGUGACAAAAAAUCAUGUUUUUGCGGUCUAUAGUUUACUCGGAUUAAUUAGGACUAGAACGGAUUUAUUAACCAAAGAAUUUGAAAAAAAAAAUGUCCAGUACAUCUUAACUUAAUAUAUCCAUAAUUCAUGUAAG
rnacentral:lncRNA from 1 species